rnacentral:rRNA from 1 species
UACGUAGGUCCCGAGCGUUGUCCGGAUUUAUUGGGCGUAAAGCGAGCGCAGGUGGUUUAUUAAGUCUGGUGUAAAGGGCAGUGGCUCAACCAUUGUAUGCAUUGGAAACUGGUAGACUUGAGUGCAGGAGAGGAGAGUGGAAUUCCAUGUGUAGCGGUGAAAUGCGUAGAUAUAUGGAGGAACACCGGUGGCGAAAGCGGCUCUCUGGCCUGUAACUGACACUGAGGUUCGAAAGCGUGGGUAGCAAACAGG